ACAGUGUCCCGGCUCGUCGCUGGCGUAAUUAUACGCAAGAGGAAAGUCCGGGCAGCAUAAGGCACUCCACUUCUGAAAGUAGAAGCUAUUGGUGACAGUAGGUGAAGGCAGAAGAAAAUAACCGCCUUUGGGGAACUGGCAGAAUACGUUUUGUUGGUCCUGAGGUAAGGAUGAGAAGGUAGUGUAAGAGACUACCAGCCGGCGGGUGAUCGUCGGGCUGUGCCGUCUGGAGGCUGUAAGUUCAUGUAUACCGUCGUCAUGUUGAGGGUAGCCUGCCCGAAGUGCCCUGGGCACUACGAUGGAGGGUAGAACGCUAAAGGUGCAGGGUGACCUGUAAGGUAGAUAAAUGACUGAGCUCUUUCCAAUCUGGAAGGAUACAGAACCCGGCUUAUCAGGACACUGUCUUG
rnacentral:RNase_P_RNA from 1 species